rnacentral:lncRNA from 10 species
CAGUGAUGAACCACCCUAGGGAUUUAACACUGCCCUCUACUCUUCACGGCAGGCCAGGUUAAGGCAGCUGUCCUCACGGGUAUACACAUGCUUGGGUGCUUGUGCCUGUCAGUUACAGCUCUUUCCACUCUGAUACUCAGACCCUGGACUUAUCUUUGGAGACGGAAAACCUAGAUUCAAAUUCCAGCUUUCCCACAUACUGGCUACAUGACCUACGUACAUAUGGUAUUGUUGAAUUUGGCCAUGGAGAGAAAUAAAUUCAGGAUGAAGCAGCUGCAAAAAAUAUGAGCAAGUGAGUAGAGCAUCCAUCAAUCAACUGGUAACUAUAGGUAAUGUAACAAUAGAAAUAAAAGGGUCUGUGGCUUGACAGGACAGGAGGCUCCAGAGAUGACAGGAAUGGUGGCUGCCACCAAAGGCAACAUGGUAGGACAGCAUUCGCCAGCUGCAGCUAAGUCCAGCCAGACCAGAGAGAAUGACAUGAACAUGUGCAUGAUAAAUCCUGUCUGUUGGCAAAAUUGAAUUACCUUAAGAAGAG